UCUGCUGUUUCCCUAUCCAGAUCUUUUCCUAACUUGUUCCCACGCUCUACGAGCUUAAUUACGACUGAUUUAUGAGCAGGGCGGGCUAACGUGUUUAUUUCUAACACCUGCGGGGCUAUUACCAGCAGCUGCACUCACGUCCUGUCCGGGGCAGUGGCAAUUCAAAAGAAAGCAAAUCCACAACACAAAGAAGAAAAGAAACAAAAUUAUAAGUCCUACCCACAAAAGAUCAAUCGGGGGAGAAAAGCAUUACUCUACCUUGUCUGCUUACAAACUUUUCGGCCUCUAUACCAAGGCUUUCAUUAUCUCUGCUUACCUCCAGAGAACUUUAUUCAUCAUCUCUGCUUACCUCCAGAGAACUUUAUCGUCCCUUAUCCGGGAAUUUCUGACGUCACCGUCCUAAAAGCUGAAAAGUUCUGAAUCCACGAGGAUGUCCUUGGGUCCCCGUACAGGCCACCACUUAUCACGCCCACCUUGGCCAGUAAGGAAGAUGCAACACGGUUGGAUUCUUCUCAACAGCCUUUAUUGCAGGAACACCUUCAUUGCUGAUACGGGGAACUC
rnacentral:lncRNA from 1 species